CAACCUUCAGCAACGGGUUUUUUGGCUUUUGCCUUGGUGAAGAACGCAAGGAAAUUCGAUAAGUAAAGUGAAUUGCAGAUUUUCCAUGAAUUCUUGAAUUUUUGAACGCCCCCUGCGGUCCUUGGUUUUUCGGGGGGCCAGCCUGUUUGAAGGUCCA
rnacentral:rRNA from 1 species